UUAUUUUCUCGCAGGGACUCUUGCUACCAGGAGAAUAGGGCCUGAUGGAUCAAGACUGGUCUCUUUCCACGUUAUUACAAGGACAAAAUCCAGAACAUUCCCAGCCCUCACAAUUUGCUGAGGAGAUGAACUGUGAAGAACACAGACUGAUAGGAGCCUGGUGUGGACAGGCCAGCGGAAGGGGCAGAAGGUGAUGGCCUGGAAGGACACCCGGCUGCCAGAGCUCCUGCUCUCUGCCUGGUGGGGCUGCUGCGGGCUUUGCUGCAUCUGAGCAGCUUAUAGAGCUCAGCAGCCCCCAGGCCUUGGAGUAGAGGGACCGUCACUCACGUGGGACACCAGGACAUGUGCUCAGCUCCGACACCACGGCCCAGCAGCCUCUCUUUUCCUGACAACCUUGGC